rnacentral:rRNA from 1 species
AUUGAACGCUGGCGGCAGGCCUAACACAUGCAAGUCGAGCGGAUGAAGGGAGCUUGCUCCUGGAUUCAGCGGCGGACGGGUGAGUAAUGCCUAGGAAUCUGCCUGGUAGUGGGGGAUAACGUCCGGAAACGGGCGCUAAUACCGCAUACGUCCUGAGGGAGAAAGUGGGGGAUCUUCGGACCUUACGCUAUCAGAUGAGCCUAGGUCGGAUUAGCUAGUUGGUGGGGUAAAGGCCUACCAAGGCGACGAUCCGUAACUGGUCUGAGAGGAUGAUCAGUCACACUGGAAGUGGGACACGGUCCUGAGUCCUACGGGAGGCAGCAGUGGGGAAUAUUGGACAAUGGGCGAAAGCCUGAUCCAGCCAGGCCGCGUGUGUGAAGAAGGUCUUCGGAUUGUAAAGCACUUUAAGUUGUGAGGAAGGGCAGUAAGUUAAUACCUUGCUGUUUUGACGUUACCAACAGAAUAAGCACCGGCUAACUUCGUG